GAUCCUGGCUCAGGAUGAACGCUAGCUACAGGCUUAACACGUGCAAGUCGAGGGGCAGCAUCAUCAAAGCUUGCUUUGAUGGAUGGCGACCGGCGCACGGGUGAGUAACACGUAUCCAACCUGCCGACAACACUGGGAUAGCCUUUCGAAAGAAGAUUAAUACCGGAUGGCAUAAUUAUACCGCAUGGGAUAAUUAUUAAAGAAUUUCGGUUGUCGAUGGGGAUGCGUUCCAUUAGG
rnacentral:rRNA from 1 species